GACGAGGUGGCCGAGUGGAUGAAGGCACUGCACUUUGACUGCAGCGCGCGGUGUUCGCGCACCGCGCCGCGGGUUCGAAUCCCGCUCUCGUCGCCA
rnacentral:tRNA from 1 species